UACGGGGGGGGCAAGCGUUGUUCGGAAUUACUGGGCGUAAAGGGCUCGUAGGCGGCCAACUAAGUCCGACGUGAAAUCCCCAGGCUUAACCUGGGAACUGCGUCGGAUACUGGAUGGCUUGAAUCCGGGAGAGGGAUGCGGAAUUCCAGGUGUAGCGGUGAAAUGCGUAGAUAUCUGGAGGAACACCGGUGGCGAAGGCGGCAUCCUGGACCGGCAUUGACGCUGAGGAGCGAAAGCCAGGGGAGCAAAACGGG
rnacentral:rRNA from 1 species